AGGAUGUAGGCUCUGUUGCCAAAGUCAAGAUGGCUGUUAACUGUUCCUGUCUCACUUUCCCCAAGCUCAGCAGUCCUAAUGGAUAGAGAACAUCUUUCCAGUUAAUGACCCUCUCAGGAAAGACAAAAGUUGACAUAGGAAAGAACGGUGGAUUUCCGGGUAUACAAAAGACUAAAGAAAUCCAGGACCCCACUGCCCAACUGUUGAACCAAGGUGUGAGCCACGCAAACGUCUGGCUAGAACUGGUAAAACAGCGACUCCGUGUGGUCAGAUAGAAGCACAGCCCAGCGCCCAGAGGGAGCCUCAUGAGCCCACAGUCUUGGCGCCGGCAGAUGAGCCGUUAGAUCUGUCAGUCAGAACGUCAAAUGAGGAAGGAAACAUAGCACCUUGCAAGUGUGAGAGGAAUUACUUUCUACCUUACAAAUGGGUCUUCCCUGUCCGCAGCUCAAGAUUUGAAGGCUGGAUGGCUUGUGCUCUCAAAGCAAAAAGGACAAAAGAAGGCUAGCCACAGGGCAUGGGUAAAGUUUGAGAUGUUUGCUGUGUCACUCCUUGGGAGGUAUGGAAGAUUUACAGAAAAAUCUUGUAAUCCUUA